UACGUAGGGCGCAAGCGUUGUCCGGAAUUAUUGGGCGUAAAGAGCUCGUAGGCGGCUUGUCACGUCGAUUGUGAAAGCCCGAGGCUUAACCUCGGGUCUGCAGUCGAUACGGGCUAGCUAGAGUGUGGUAGGGGAGAUCGGAAUUCCUGGUGUAGCGGUGAAAUGCGCAGAUAUCAGGAAGAGCACCAACGGCGAAGGCAGCUCGCUGGGACGGUACUGACGCUGAGGAGCGAAAGCGUGGGGAGCAAACAGG
rnacentral:rRNA from 1 species